rnacentral:rRNA from 1 species
CAGCCGCCGCGGGAAUACGUAGGGGGCAAGCGUUAUCCGGAAUUACUGGGUGUAAAGGGAGCGUAGACGGUUAAACAAGUCUGAAGUGAAAUGCCGGGGCUCAACCCCGGAGCUGCUUUGGGAACUGUAGAACUGGAGUGUCGGAGGGGUAAGCGGAAUUCCCUGUGUAGCGGUGAAAUGCGUAGAUAUUGGGAGGAACACCGGCGGCGAAGGCGGCUUACUGGACGACAACUGACGUUGAGGCUCGAAGGCGUGGGUAGCAAACAGGAUUAGAUACCCCCGUAGUCCCUGUCUCUUAUAC